rnacentral:rRNA from 1 species
AUCUUGGAGAGUUUGAUCCUGGCUCAGGACGAACGCUGGCGGCGUGCUUAACACAUGCAAGUCGAACGGAGCUUAUAGGAAGCUUGCUUCUUGUAAACUUAGUGGCGAACGGGUGAGUAACGCGUAACCAACCUGCCCUUCAGAGGGGGAUAACAACGGGAAACCGUUGCU